AGUGAACGCUGGCGGUAGGCCUAACACAUGCAAGUCGAACGGCAGCACAGUAAGAGCUUGCCCUUACGGGUAGCGAGUGGCGGACGGGUGAGGAAUACAUCGGAAUCUACUUUUUCGUGGGGGAUAACGUAGGGAAACUUACGCUAAUACCGCAUACGACCUACGGGUGAAAGCAGGGGAUCUUCGGACCUUGCGCGAUUGAAUGAGCCGAUGUCGGAUUAGCUAGUUGGCGGGGUAAAGGCCCACCAAGGCGACGAUCCGUAGCUGGUCUGAGAGGAUGAUCAGCCACACUGGAACUGAGACACGGUCCAGACUCCUACGGGAGGCAGCAGUGGGGAAUAUUGGACAAUGGGCGCAAGCCUGAUCCAGCCAUACCGCGUGGGUGAAGAAGGCCUUCGGGUUGUAAAGCCCUUUUGUUGGGAAAGAAAAGCAGCAGGUUAAUACCCCGCUGUUCUGACGGUACCCAAAGAAUAAGCACCGGCUAACUUCGUG
rnacentral:rRNA from 1 species